rnacentral:lncRNA from 1 species
GAAGCUCUGUCAGGAUAAAACUCUCUAGAUUGGUAGAGAGAGUUGUUAUGUAAAUACCAACCUAAAGCACCACAUGCUCAUUUGUUGCCUCACAAGACAAGACUACAAGAGCAACGUACUGUUGCUUCACAUGCAAUCUCUUGUAGCCUCACAAGACUGCUAUUGCCUCACAGUAUAGAAAUUGUUGCCUCUCAUGAACCUUGUUUGUGUUUGCCUUUGGUUGUACUAUAAAUACCCAACAAGUGCUAACUGCAAAGUGAAUGUGCAUAAGAGUUAAGAGAAGUGUUCGAGAGUUUGAGAGACAUCAUAUCUAUAAGAGGGAAGAAGUAGAGAGUGAGUGAUUGUAUGAGAAGUUUUGAAUCAAUAUGGAAAAUCUCUCUGAAUGCAGGUCAACUAUUAGGGGCUGAACCACAUAAAUCAUGGUCUCAGGUUUGUUCCCUAUCCUCGUCUAAUCCUUACAAUUGAUAUGAGAAGUUCCAAAUUGCAUCUACUAACAGAAAUGCAUGAGCAGCAAGAAGCUAAAGUAAGAUGCAAGUCACAAACAUUUUACACAUUAAAAAAGGCAAGAAGCAUACACAUAAACACAUUUAGGCCCUCAAUCUUUUAAUAUCAUCAAUCAAAGCCGUCAAAUUGUUGUGGGAGGAGCCACCUUCUUCAACAGCCAGCCUAGCCUUCCUCCCAUACUCAUGUGCCCGCCGUCUGAUCUGCUCCGCUUCAUCACCACCGUCCAUCAACCUCCUCACAGCCUUCUCUAUACUCUCCCUGCUCACCACCUUCUCCCUCUCCCCAAACCCAAUGGGGGUCCACUCCUCUGCACCCACCUCCACGCCAAUCCCCCGCACCUCCGUAAUCAGCUUCUCGUUAUAGAAUUGCUCACUGUGCACCGGCCACGUGAUCAUCGGAACCCCCUCGCUAACCGCCUCCAAAGUGGAGUUCCACCCACAAUGCGUCACAAACGCACCCACCGCACGGUGGCCCAGUAUAACCACCUGCGGAGCCCACCCCCUGAUAAUUAUCCCCUUCUUUUCAAACCCAAUCGGAAGCCAUUUUCUCUUCUCUUCUUCACUCUCUUCCUCUUUCCCCUUCUUCUCAGGAACCACCCAUAUGAAUCCAUAACCUGAAGCUUCAAUAGCGCUUGCAAUCUCGUAAAGCUGAUUAUCAGGAAAAUGGCACACGCUACCGAAGCAGAUGUAGAGAACUGAGUUUAGUGGCUUCGAGUUGAGCCAACUCAGUAACUCGUCCACUUUCACCACGCUGUUCUGCCCCCUCUCUGCUUUAUCUUGCUCUGUUCUUCGAAUCAGAGAAACAGGGCCAAGAUGCCAAGCCUUGUGACCAGUGAUUCUCUCGUAGUGCUCGAUGUACUCUUCUCCGUCGAGCUCGGCGAAGUUGUUCACUAUCAACCCGUGGCUUGUGAGCUCUUUCUCCAGCAGAGAUUCCAUGAAUCCGGUGGUGGAUUUCGGUGGUCUCGCGCGCAGGGUGAUAUGGUGAGGAAAAUCCGGGAUGGUAAACGGGUCGGUUUGGGAGCGGUGUUUUCUGAUGGAUUCCAUGGCGGAGACGGUGAAGAGGGAGAAGCCGUUGAAGGCGAGUCUCGGGAUUCGAAGCCUGUUGGCGAGGUCACCAACCCAUGGCAUCAUGAAAACGGCAACGAUGCAGUCGGGUGGGUUCUGCUCCACGAAAUCUCCGAUUGGGCCUUGGAGGAGCAUGGCGGCUUGGUAGAAUUUGGCGGAGUCAGCGAGGUUAGUGAGGGCGGUCAUGGUUUCGACGCCGUCGGGGAGGCCAACUUGUUUGGAGGGGAAUUGGACGGUGUGGAGGUGGAUGACGGCAUCGGAGAUGGAUUUUCGAAGGAUUUGGGCGUUGGAGGGAGUGGUGAUGAUGGUCACGUGUUGGCCACGUGAGGCGAAGAGUGUGGCUAUGUCACACAGAGGGAUCAUGUGACCAGCUGCUAGGUAUGGAAUGAAGUAGAGUUUCAGUGUAUUUUCUUCAUCCAUGGUGGUCGGUGGAAGGCGGACGGUGGUGGAGACACUGACACAGUUGGAGCUUUUGGGUUCAACUUCAACUGGUUGCUUUCUUUGAAGACUCAAGGGCAGACUUUAGUUUAGUUUGGAAAUUUAGUUCAAAUUUUGUGGUACUAAAAUAAUGUCUUGGAGUGGGGUAAUUUAAGUAAGAUAUUCAAAAUGUGUUGAUUCAAUAAUAAUAAAGACUUAUAAAAUUUUUAUUUUGUUCCGUGAUAGUAAUGCAAUAUUUCAUUCUUAAGGACGUUAGAUAUACGAGUUGUGUUUUCUAAGGUUUGUUUAUCGAUUAACCUUGAUUUUUUUAUGCGUAUCUUCAUCAUUAUCAUUCGUUUCUACUAUUCGUUCAUUUUUCAUUAAAAAAUGAAUUUUAUAAGAUAAAGUUAAUUGACAAGUGAAGUAAAAUCUAAAGAUGUAAUAGUUACCUUAAAUAAUAUGACAAUAAUCUAUUAAAUUAUUUAAAAUGGGGACCACACAUGAAAAAAAAUUAAGGUACCACAUAAUUUAUCUUAAAAGAAUGCAUAAACGUGAACCACGAGCUCCUAGUUUGUCAAUGAUUGACGACACUACCUUUUCAUUUAUUUUAUCUUAUUUUUUAUGGAAAAAUCAAUAUCAAUAUCAAUAUCAAUCAAUCAAUAUAUAUUAGAAAAGAAGAACUUUCAUAGUGACGUGUCAGCACCAGAUUAAUUCUUAGUGACGUGUCAGCACCAGAUUAAUUGUCAUAAAAAAUAUUCCACGUGUCAAUUUGUUAGAGGGUAGAAUUUUCAAUUCAUAUAUGUUUUAAUUUAUAUAUUCUAAACUAAUUGAUUGAUAUUAUUUUAGAAGAUAUAAUUUUCAAUUGAUAUAUCUUUUAAUUUUAUAUAUUCUAAAAUAAUUGAUUGAUAUUAUUUUAAAAGAUAAGAUUUGGUCUUUUAAUUUAUUUUUAGAAUAUAUUAAUUAAUUUUUAUUGAAUUUUCGAAUUUUUUAUUAAUUCGGGAUUUUAUGAGUUUUUAUUGUGAUUUGCUAGAUUUUGUUAGUUUUUAUCUAUCUUUAUUUAGUACCUUUUUUAAUAUUAGAUUUGAUUGGGAUUUAGGUUGUUUAUUUCUUAAUUUUAUCUUAAUUUAUCUUAUUAUUUAUUUAAUUUUAAUUCUAUAAAAUAUUUUAUUUUAUUUUAGAUUUAUUUUUAGUUAUAUUAAUUAAUUUUUCUUGAAUUUUCGGUUUUUUAAUUAAUUCAGGAUUUUAUGAGUUUUUAUUGUGAUUUGCUAGAUUUGGUAGUUUUUAUCUAUCUUUAUUUAGUACCUUUUUAAAUUUUAGAUUUGAUUAGGAUUUAGGUUGUUUAUUUCUUAAUUUUAUCUUAUUAUUUAUUUAAUUUUACUUCCGGGAUUUGAUUAGAAUUUAGGUUGUUUAUUUCCUAAUUUUAUUCAAUUAGGAUUAGGAUUUAGGUUAUUUAUUUUCUUAAUUUUAUUUUACAUUUAUUUAUAGAGUAUAAUAAUUAAUUUUUAUUAAAUUUUCGGAUUUUUAAUUAAUGCAGGAUUUUAUGAGUUUUUAUUGUGAUUUGGUAGUUUUUAUCUAUCUUUAUUUAUUAUUUAUUUAAUUUUAAUUUCGUGAAAUAUUUUAUUUUAUUUUUGAGUUAUUUUUAGAGUAUAAAUGAAUUUUUAUCGUAUUUUUAUUGAAUUUUCAUAUUUUUAUUUAAUUCAGGAUUUUAUGAGUUUUUAUUGUGAUUUGCUAGAUUUUGGUAGUUUUUAUCUAUCUUUAUUUAGUACCUUUUUAAAGUUUAGAUUUGAUUAGGAUUUAGGUAGUUUAUUUCUUGAUUUUAUCUUAAUUUAUUUUAUUAUUAAUUUGAUGCUAAUUCUAAGAAAAGGGAGUUGAUUUGGUGCUGAGGGUCCACAAAGCUACCAUGGACACGUAGAGAUUUGAUAGCUGUUAUUUCUACCUCUGCCACAUGUCGCGAUUAGGACAGAGGUAUGUCAUAAGAUGAUGUUACGUGAAGUAGAGUUUAUCAUGUUGUGAUUGAUGGUUUGUGCCAUUUCAGUUUAUCCUUUGUUCGUAAUUUAAUCAUGAAUUCUUAAAUUUCACAUAUUUUGUGUGUUUCGAUCCAAAAGUUUACAAAUUUUUGAAUAUGCAAGGGACCCUUUAACGAAUUAUUAUUGAAGACGUAAUGUUUUGAUUCUGAUGUAAUGUUUUUUCUAUUGUUCUCUUUUCGCUUUCGUAUUUUUUUAAACCAGAUUUUGGUAUAGUUUGUAGAAAUCCAUGCGUGUGAAGCUAUUCUAAACCAGAUUUUGGUAUUAUUUGUAGAAAUUCACGAAACUUAGGAUAGCCUGAAUUUAUAUUCAUUUCUCAAAUUUUGCUCCUUUUUAUUCAUCAUGUUUGAGCUGUGUGUAUAAACAUACUAUUUGCACUGUAUGUGAAUGAUGCACAACUUACUAAUUUUAUUUUUUUUAUGAUGCACAGGUCAGUCAAAUUGAUGAAAGCAUAUGAAGAGCUCAUAUUUAAUCUUCAUGAGUAUGUUUAGCCCUGUUCAAAAAAAAGAGUAUGUUUAGCACAUUCUUAAGGUUGGUUCAUGUUUUCCUCAAACUCAUCAGUUUUGCAUAUAAUCAUGUUUUAGUAUGUCAAUUGGGUGACUUAUCUUACUUUGCUCUAUAUAUUUUCUUAAGUUCAAUUUAAAUUGAUUGUUAGUAUAAGUUCAUUGGUAAAGUAACCACAAUUAUUUUGGGUGGGAGAAUUAUUUUGUUUUUUUCUCGCAUAUAUAGAUAAUUUGUUAGGGUGUGCACAUGUGGGGCAUUGCACCAUUUUUUGUUUCUCUUGACUGAAAUGUGCCUUUGAUUUUUUUUUACCCGCGCGUUGCACGGGUAAUACAUCUAUUGUAUUUGAUAGGUCAAUUAAUACCUUGAUCAUUAAAAAUAUAAUAAACAACUGAUAAAAUAGAAGAGUAUGAAAUGAUGAGCAAAGUGGACAAAAACUCUUAAAUUAAAACCCUUGUUGCAUACAUUAAACUUCGUACAAUUGAAUAACUAAUAAAAAAAUUGGUUAACCAAAUCUCAAAUUAUGCAAAGCAUAUUAGAGGAUGUGGUUUAAUGAUGACUAAUAAACAAUAGCUGAUUUAAUCUACAAUGAAAAAAAGAGAAAAGAUUCUUUAUGUACGUGAUUAUGCGAGUUCAUUUUUUACACAAUAAAAUAAACUAAGUUUGACCCAUAUCAACAUGAAGUCGUUUCACAUUCUUCAUGAGCCUAAAGACAAUAACACAAAUUAUAGAUAUGAAGAAUCACCAAUAAAGCAUUCAGAACACAUUUUAAUCUUAGAAAAAAAAGAAUGUACCGCGAAAUUUGUUAUUGUAUUUGAGACAUUAAUUAAUACUUAAUGAAGGUACUUUCUUGUUAAAAUAUAUUUAUUCUCGUAGGAGAAUUUAACUCCUAUAAUAAUAUGUACAAAAAAAAUUAAAAUGGACUAUAUUAUUAUGUAGUAAAAAAUUAACAUCAAACUAUAUUAUAUUAUGUUUUUCUUGUAACAAACAAAAAUUCCGAUGAAAUCUUAUUAACAUUUAUUUUUAUGUAGAAGUAUUUUCAUGUAAAAUAUUCUUCCUAUAUAUAAAAGCUUUUAGGCUCUUUCUAAUACAUUUAGAUCCAGCUUCUCCUUACUCUCAGGAUGCCUGA